rnacentral:rRNA from 1 species
CCUGGUUUGCCCUCGRCUUUCUUCCGGUAGCCUUCCGCGCUUCACUGCGUGUGUUGGUGUUCCGGAACUUUUACUUUGAGAAAAAUAGAGUGUUUCAAGCAGGCUUGUUGCCCUGAAUACUUCAGCAUGGAAUAAUAAGAUAGGACCCUGGUUCUAUUUUGUUGGUUUCUAGGACCGAGGUAAUGAUUAAUAGGGACAGUUGGGGGCAUUCGUAUUUAACUGUCAGAGGUGAAAUUCUUAGAUUUGUUAAAGACGAACUACUGCGAAAGCAUUUGCCAAGGAUGUUUUCAUUAAUCAAGAACGACAGUAGGGGGUUUGAAGACGAUUAGAUACCGUCGUAAUCUCUACCAUAAACUAUGCCGACUAGAGAUAGGGAAACGCCUACCUUGGCUUCUCCUGCACCUCAUGAGAAAUCAAAGUCUCUGGGUUCUGGGGGGAGUAUGGUCGCAAGGCUGAAACUUAAAGGAAUUGACGGAAGGGCACCACCAGGCGUGGAGCCUGCGGCUUAAUUUGACUC